AAUCAUUCUGCUGUGUCAUUUUGUGUCUUAUGUUCCUAUUUAGGAGAGAAAAUGGAGGCUAAAAGCAAUAAUGAGUUUCAGGUAGUUUUCUCUGAAGCAACUCAAUCAGAUUCCACCAUUCAGUGUCACCUAUAUCCUGAAAUCAGUGCUGUCAAUAUGGAGAUUAGAUGGUUUAAGGAAACAGACUGUGUGUAUUUCUAUAAGAACAAACGGUUGAUAAAGGGGGAGAGUUAUGAAGGCAUAAAGAGUCUAUGCAUUGACGAGCUGGAGAGAGGAAUUGUGUCCUUACAGCUGAAGGAUGUCAGGGAAUCAUAUGCUGGUGAUUACCUGUGUCAGGUCACCAGUGGAGACUGGACAGAGGAGAUAACAAUAAGAAAAUCAUGUUUCCCAACAGCAGUAAAGACCCAUGAAGAUCAGACUGAAAUGCCUCAACAAACAGCCACACUAUGGACUAAACCGAUCGACAAAGCAUGGACUGAUAAGGAGAGAAUAAAAAUGGCAAAUUCUGCUUUACUGGCAGGUGAAUGCUGUUAGAACUCAUAUUUUUCAUGUGUCAAAAGAUCAGGACAGACACAAGGAACUUAUUGGACUCCUCUGGUAAAACAAAGCUUAAAGUAAAUGAAGUUUGAACACAGAGCACAUGAUUUAUUCGUUUUCUAUUGUCUAGAAAAAGAUGCGCUAAAGGAAGAUCUUCAGGGCAUUAAUGCUACAAUGCAGCAGACAGACAUAGAAGUUGAGGAGAACCAGAAUGAGACUGAGGAGAAAGACACACAACAGGAGGAAACAAGCGGACAUAUGCAUGAGAGCACAAAUCUCUUAGUGAUGGAAACCAGUACCUGUAAGCUGGAGGAACAGGAAACCGAACCAGGAAACCAAAUCUUACAUCUGGGCAAUCAACAACCGGGAUGUUCAAGUCAGAAAUCACCAGACAGUGGUGGGUGUCACAUUUAUAGUGUCAGGAUACAUUUGAAUUAAGAAUUUGUGUAUAUUCCAAAGUUCAUCUGCACUUGAACAUACAUAUUCUCAUGAAGAUAGUGGA